rnacentral:rRNA from 1 species
CCCUUAGAUGUUCUGGGCCGCACGCGCGUUACAAUGAAGAAUUCAACGAGUUUCUCCUUGGCCGAUAGGCCUGGGUAAUCUUUGAAAUUUCUUCGUGCUGGGGAUAGAUUAUUGUAAUUAUUAAUCUUCAACGAGGAAUUCCUAGUAAGCGUGAGUCAUCAGCUCGCGUUGAUUACGUCCCUGCCCUUUGUACACACCGCCCGUCGCUCCUACUGAUGAAUGGUCCGGUGAAAUCUUCGGAUCGACGUUUGUGCUGAAUGAUUUCGGUUGUUCAGUUGAAUGUUGAAAAGUUGAUUAAACCUUAUCAUUUAGAAGAAGGAGAAGUCGUAACA